UUUUUUUCUUUUCUUUUUUUUCCUUUUUUGGGUUCCCUACAGCAUAUGGAACUCCCAGGCCAGGAAUCAGAUCCGGGCCACAGUUGCCACCUAUGCUACAGCUGCAGCAACGCUGUAUCCUUAACCCGCUGUGUCAGGUUGGGAUCAAACUUGCUUCCUAGCACUCCAGAGAUGCCGCCAAUCCCAUCGCACCACAGCAGAAACUCCUGGACCCAGCAUCUUGAAGGCUGCAGAAUCUUGUCACCCCAGCAGAAGGUCAGUCCCUACGUCCUUCAGUGAUGGGGAGAACAUCCCUUCAAGGCUGCUGGUUCCAGAACCUGCACAGGUGCUUCCCACAAGCCCAGGCUUGGCGCUUCAGUGCCCUCCACCCCAUGGGUGGUGUUUUGAAUUUGCUAUCAUCAUCCGCAAGCUCUGCUCCCUCUGCUGGUCCCAGCCUAGGGCUUGGCCUUAUUGUUUCACUGUUCACUUGGGCCUGUCCCUUCAGUCUUGCCUGCUCCCCUGGAGCCCUCACUCUCCUGACUCAGGGCUCAGACCUCAAAGUGGAACUUAAGGGAGACCAAACUGACCCAAAGGCCACCAGGAGGGAGACAGCCUGGCUCAGGCAGGGGUGUGAGGGAGUGGUACCCAGACACGAAGGGAGGAAACAGCCCCAGCUGCCCUAAGCUUUGCUGGGGCUGGCGUGCACGGGUCCAGGACCUAGGGCUGUGGAAAGCACAAAAGCUCAGAUGGGCCACUUGGGUCUUGGGCUCCAGGUUCCCUGGCUCCCCAAAGGGUGGCAUCUUCCCAUACAGGUCAGCCUAGGCCUCCGGUAGAGUGAGGUAUGUUGCCCCACAAGCCCUCUGUAGCACCGAGAUUUGGUUCCUCAUUGAAAUCCAAGGUUCUGGUACCUCAGCAUCCCUCUCUCACCUCAGAGGACAUGUGUGUAGCUCAUCGGACAUGCUGGGUUUGAAUUUCCAGUUUGAUCCUCCUGAUUUCACAAAAUAUUGCCUCAACCUAGACAUUUACAAGGGCUGCUUCCAGGAGGAGUGAGGAACUGUUGUGGGGUGGGUCUGGGGAGACACCUGCAGGGCUAUGACAUUCACCUCCAUCUCUCUGUUUCUCUCUUCAGUCUGGCUCAGAUAUUUUAUUUUAUUUUUUUUACAGCUGCACCUGUGGCAUAUGGAGGUUCCCAAGCUAGGGGUUGAAUAAGAGCCAGUUGGAUACUUAACCUACUGAGGCCAGGGAUCAAACCUGUACCCUCACAGACACUAUGUCAGGUUUUUAACUCACUGAGCUACAACGGGAACUCCAGCUCAGAUAUUUUAAAAAAGUAAAAUGAAAUCUCUGCUCAUGAUAGUAGUUUCUGCAUUGCUCCUGGGUCUUUGGGGUCAGAACCCCCUCAUGCACCCUGGGUGCAGUUUCCUGCACUGGGGGGCCUCAGAGAACAAAAUGAACACUGAGGAACUGAGGGGACGAACUGGAGGGAAGAUGGGGGUGGUGGCUGGAACCCGAGAGUGGACGGUGGCUGCGCUGGAAGCAGGCAGGACCCACGCCUGGUGGCCAAGACACCUGAUGUCUGAGGCCUGGUGCCCGUGGCCAGGUAGGGGUACAGGAGAGGCUGCAGGGGACUAGGCUGCCACCCUCUCCCCUGGCUCCUGGCUUCCUUCCUACCCUUAGAGUUUGGCAGCUUUGUUCUGACCCAUGGUCUCUGCAUGGGUGGUUCCUGCUGCCCACGUCUGGCUCCUUUAAGCCUCCUCUUCUGAGAGGCCCUUUUGUAGCACCUGAGUUCUGUUUCUGUAGCACCUGGUCUGGCCACAUGUCCUCACACCUGUACCUGUCCUAGUACCUGGCAUGGACCUGUCCUGGCAAAUAUGCCCUAUAGACUGGGGUGCCCUGGAAGUGGGGGGCUACCUCAACCCCUCGCCUCUGCCAUUGCUCCUCAGGCUGGGUAUGGGCUGGACUCUUGCUCCUUCAAUUUGCCCAUGCUUCAUACUCCUGAACUAGCCAGGUGACUGGGUUGUGCACCAGGCAGGUGCUGGCUCAGGGGCUCCAGCUACAGGCAGAGUGCACAGCCUCAAGACCUUGGUCUGGCCCCAGGCAUGGGUGCAGCCCAGCUCCCCAGUGCUUCAUCCCCAUAAAUAAAAGAUUCCUUCCUCCUUCCAGCUUUGCGCAGCCGCCUGCUCAGGCCCAUGGGCUGUCUGCUUCUGAGUAACUGCAGGGUCCCUGAGGCUGGGGGACACAGGCCUGGGGAGAUGCCGUCCCUCCCUCCAUGUGCCCCGCCCACAGCACCCAGCCGUGCCCCCUCUUGCCUCCACGUGUGCUAUCUGUCUUUGAGUCAUCCCAUCGGGUGUCACGGGGCCUUUGAGGUGCUUGCGCUUUCUCUAUGCCCUGGGCACCACUCGCACUCUUUACUUCCCGACAAUCCACCCUUUAAUCAUCUCCUCAGACUCAAGCAACUAAAAUAAUCUACAGCAUUUGCAGCAACAUGGAUGGAACCAGAGACUCUCAUACUAAGAAAGUCAGAAAGAGAAAGACAAAUACUAUAUGAUACCACUUAUAUCUGGAAUCUGAUAUACGGUACAAAUGAACCUAUCUGCAGAAAAGAAACAAACUCAUGGACGUGGAGAACAAAAUGUGGUUGCCAAGGGGGAGGGGGAGGAGUAGGAUGGACUGGGAGUUGAGGUUAGUAGAUGCAAACUAUUGCAUUUGGAGUGGAUAAGCAAUGAGAUCCUGCUGCACAGGGAACUAUAUCUAGUCACUUGUGAUGGAACAUGAUGGAGGAUAAUGUGAGAAAUAGAAUGUAUGUGUAUAUAUAUAUAUAUAUAGCUGGGUCACUUUGCUGUACAGCAGCUAUUGACAGAACAUUGUAAAUCAAUGAUAAUAAAAAAAAAUUUUUUUUAGGAGUUCCCGUCGUGGUGCAGUGGUUGACGAAUCCGACUAGGUCCCUGCCCUUGCUCAGUGGGUUGACGAUCCGGCGUUGCCGUGAGCUGUGGUGUAGGCUACAGACGCGGCUCGGAUCCCCCGUUGCUGUGGCUCUGGCGUAGGCCGGUGGCUACAGCUCCGAUUGGACCCCUAGCCUGGGAACCUCCACAUGCCGUGGGAGCGGCCCAAGAAAUAGCAAAGAGACAAAAAAAAAAUUUUUUUUAAUAUCUAUGGCAGAAUUUUCUGGUCAAAGCCCCCAAGUGGCCAGCACAGAACUGGGCUCAACUGGGUGGAAACAGGUGCAUAGAGCCUGGUUUGUCACGGAGGAGGGUGUCCUGCUCUAUUCUAUAGAGUCAAAGCUUUUGCUGACAAAUCUAUCUGUUCUUUUAAUUUUUAAAAUAAACGUUUAGAUUUCAGAACAGUUCUGUAUUUACAGAAAAAUUGAGAGGAUAACACAGAGUUCCCAGAAGCAGCACACACAGCUUCCCCUAUUGUUUACAUCCUACUCAGUGUGUCUAAUUGAUGAACCAAUGCUGAUACUUUAUUAUCAACUGAAGCCCAUACUUUAUUCCUCUUUCUCUAGUUUUUACCUGAUGUCCUUUUUCUAUUGUAGGAGCUGCCUUUUAGUCAUUGAAACUCCCUAAGAACAAAGGGGCACAGAGUUGUAUUUGUCAACCGGGCUCUGUAGCCCACCAGGCGUCCAGGGGCUCCCUGGGAGUCAGGCCUGGAGAAGAUGGACAGUGACCCUCCACCUGGCUGGUCACGGCCCUUCCCCACUCCUUACUUCCUGGACACUUCCUGGGGACACUCCUGGGCUUUGGUCUCCUCAUCUGUGACAAAAACCCAGGUGGCUGCCACAUCCAGAGCAACAAACAAACACCAACAAGCAUGUGGCAUAGCUUCUUCCCAUUUUGGGCUGUGGCCAGAAGCUCUUGGGGCUGAACAACCCCCCUCCCAGGAGCCUGGGCCCCACAGACUGGGUCUCCCUGUCCCAGGGCCCGGGGAGCAGAGUCUGCUCCCUGAGCUGCCAGGUGGAGUGGCUUCUGGGGGUGCUUCCCCUCAGGUCUCACACCCGAGCCUCAUUCCCUGCUCCCCACCCUAUUGCCAUCCUCCCUCCUCGAGACAGCCUCAGGUAAAAAGGUAACCUUUUCACUAGGAAGCUCUGCCAGGCAGGACAAGACAAGCUGGUGAGUUAUGGGGCAGGAAGGACCCACACGCUCUGCCUCGUGAGAGCAGCUCUGGCCUCACUCCGGUCCCUGAAGCUCAGCCCCAGGGGCCACCCAGCAAGCUGGUCAAGUAGUCUUCCUUGGUCAUGGGCAAGGGGGGUGUGCAGGCAAAACCAGGCAAGUGGGUUCCUGAGGAGCAGUCAGCUAGCCUUGGCCAUGCUGGCCCAGCAUUCAGGGGCCAGCUAUCUGGCUCCUCCUGGCAGACCUCCCGGUUUGCCCACCUCUUCUCCAAAGGACUGUUGUCACUGCACCUCCCAGAUAGAUAUCCCUAGGCAGGACCUGCAAACUCAGGGACCCCGACCCACUCUGGGACCCCCUAUCCUGCCCUCCUACCUCCCACAUUCUUAUUAAUUCUCCCUCCUAAGAGGUACGUCUCACCCCUUUCACCAACCGGGUAACUGAGGCUGGGAAGAGAAGGAACUGCCUGGGGACACUGCAGUCUGUGGGAGGCCAGGGAUUUGACAGCCACCUGUGACGAGUGGGGACAGCUGGGAUGUGAUAAAGCAAUGUGGGUAAAGCUGACUAGACCCUGAGGUGGGGGCAGUGGAGCUUGUGAUGAGGGGCUGUGAUGGGGGCUGGGGGUGGAGCAGGGCCUCCAUGCACCCCGAUUAAUCUGGCACUUCUGCUGAGAAACAGGACAGCAGGAUGAGAGAUUGAGCAGGUCUUCAGCACAGCGCAGUGAGGACGAGGCAUCUGGAGGCAGCUCCACACAGGUAGCCCCAAGAACCCCUGCCCUGCCUGUGUGUUGGGGGGGAAAUCCGGGAGGGGAUGAAUCAGCCCACCUCCAGCUACCUGAAGCCCCCAGCCCUACCUGCAGCCCUCCUCACCCCCACAGCAGUACCUGUGGGCCCCCUCACCCCCACGGCCUCACCUGUGGACCCCUCUCUGGCACAGUUCCUCCCCCUAAUGAACUCUGCUGCCCUGCCAGGGGGUGGGAGGACUGCAUUUCACGGUCAAUUAAUUUGGCAUCUUUCUUAUACUGAGUCAAGUUGAACCUAUUUUGAUGGGUUCAUUUCAUAUCUUGGUCACCCUUCUCUUGGGCUGUUGGUCUUUUCUUAGAUUUGUAAGAAUUCAUCAUAUAUAGCCAACAGUGGCCUUUUGUGAGAUGAGUCGCCAGUAUUCCCACAGUAUGUUGUUUAUCUUUUUAUUGUGUGCCCCCCUCCCACUGCCAUGCAUCUGCCUUUUAUUUUUAUGAGGUUGAAUAUAUCCAUCUCAUAUUUUAUGGCUUCUGGUUUUUGUAUAAUUCUUAGAAUGAUUCGAGGUUAUCUUUUUUUUAUUUCUGGUAGUUUUAUGGUUUCUUUUUUACUUCAAAGCUUUGGCCCAUUUGGAACUUAUUUUAGUAUCAAGGAAUGAGGUGGGGAGUCCAAAAAUUUCCCCCAAAUGUUUGUUUAGUUGUCCUAAGAUGAUGUAUUUAUUAUAUGUUUUGAAUUAUUUAUUAAAUAAUCCAUUUUCCCCUCCUGGACUUCACACUGCUCCCUCCUCAUAUUUGCAUUGGAAGCUUCUUCUGUUUUUUUUUCCCCCCAUCAUCUGACUGUCCAUGGGCUGUGUUAAUUACUGUGGUUCUAGAAUAUAUUUUAGGAUCCCACAUGGCCCGUCUCCCUCAGUAUGCUUAUUUUAACAUUUUUCCUGGGUUUCUUUCAUGUGAACCUCAGAAUUACUUUGGCAGGGCCUCCUGAUUUGCUCAGAGAACAACCAGUCAGAACUCCAGCGAGGUCCAGAAUGUGCCCAGGACCACCUCCUCUGACCCACGCCCACAGCCCAGUCCCAUCCAGGCCCCGCCCCCAGCAGGCUGAGUGUGUGGAGCUGUCCAACGUGCUGAACUGUGGUUCUGUGCCCCUCAACUCCAAUCCCUCCCGGGCCUUGGAAAUGGAGUGUUCAAGGGAGUG
rnacentral:lncRNA from 1 species